GACGAACGCUGGCGGCGUGCUUAACACAUGCAAGUCGAACGGCAAGUCCCUGCUUUUUUGGUGUGCUCGAUUGGCUAUCGUGUGUGUAACACGUUUGUAUCCUUCCCUUUUCUUUGUUAUAACUUCAGGUAACUUGUUCUAAUACCCGAUAUGAUCUCCUGCUUCAUGGUUUGGGUUGGAAAGUUUCGGCUGUUGGGGUUGGACUCGCGGCUUAUCAGCUUGUUUGUGGGGUAGUGGCUUACCAAGGCUUUGACGGGUAGCCGGCCUGAGAGGGUUACCGGCAACAAUGGGACUGAGAGACGGCCCAGAAUCCAACGGGAGGCAGCAGUGGGGAAUAUGGAACAAGGGGCGGAAGCCUGAUGAAGAAACGCCGCGUGCGGGAUGACGGCCUUCGGGUUGUAAAAAGCUUUAGAAUGUGACGAAGCGUGAGUGACGGUAAUGGGUAAAGAAGCACCGGCUAACUACGUG
rnacentral:rRNA from 1 species